rnacentral:rRNA from 1 species
AUUGAACGCUGGCGGCAGGCCUAACACAUGCAAGUCGAGCGGAUGAGUGGAGCUUGCUCCAUGAUUCAGCGGCGGACGGGUGAGUAAUGCCUAGGAAUCUGCCUGGUAGUGGGGGACAACGUUUCGAAAGGAACGCUAAUACCGCAUACGUCCUACGGGAGAAAGUGGGGGAUCUUCGGACCUCACGCUAUCAGAUGAGCCUAGGUCGGAUUAGCUAGUUGGUGAGGUAAAGGCUCACCAAGGCGACGAUCCGUAACUGGUCUGAGAGGAUGAUCAGUCACACUGGAACUGAGACACGGUCCAGACUCCUACGGGAGGCAGCAGUGGGGAAUAUUGGACAAUGGGCGAAAGCCUGAUCCAGCCAUGCCGCGUGUGUGAAGAAGGUCUUCGGAUUGUAAAGCACUUUAAGUUGGGAGGAAGGGCGAGUAAGUUAAUAACCUUGCUGUUUUGACGUUACCAACAGAAUAAGCACCGGCUAACUUCGUGCC